UUACUUAAAUGUCAAUAGGGGAGAUGUGUUGUGAAAAGGAAAACACCCAAGAACAGUAGGUAAGGUGUAUGGAAACACCCUGGGAACAGGCCAAGGGACCGCCCCUCUUGAGCAGUGGAGUUACUGGGAAAAACAGUGCUGCAAUGUAAGAGAAAUGUAACUGCAACCUCACUCCAAAUGUCCUAAUUUCUGUAAUCAUCAACCCUCGCAACGUCCUCAUCGACCACAUCCUCGGAUUCUCCCCACAUACAACGUCUGCACCUCGGAUUCAUGACGACUGUCCCUGACGAGUACUGCCUUGUCCCAAGAACUGUCGCAACAAACGGUCCCGCGGUUGGAUCCAAACCCAGGUUUCCAGUCUGCACGCAGUGACAGUUGUCCACUUGAAAGGAAAUAAUUGCCUCAUCCAUUCAUUUAAUAAAAACUUUUGUCCAGCACAAGUGUUUACAACAGUACAGGGUAAAAAUCUAAUGAUGAAUGAAUAAAAAGUAAUUGGGAGGGGGGUCAGCUUAAGCUUAUGGUGAGAUUACCUCGGAGCAGAAGGAUCGACCCCAUCACUUAACCUGGGAGGAUUGUCCAUUGACUGGUCACUCUUCAUAGAUAUACAGCUGGC